GACGAACGCUGGCGGCGUGCCUAACACAUGCAAGUCGAGCGAAUGAAGUUCCUUCGGGAACGGAUUUAGCGGCGGACGGGUGAGUAACACGUGGGCAACCUGCCUCAUAGAGGGGAAUAGCCUUCCGAAAGGGAGAUUAAUACCGCAUAAGAUUGUAGUACCGCAUGGUAUAGCAAUUAAAGGAGCAAUCCGCUAUGAGAUGGGCCCGCGGCGCAUUAGCUAGUUGGUGAGGUAACGGCUCACCAAGGCGACGAUGCGUAGCCGACCUGAGAGGGUGAUCGGCCACAUUGGGACUGAGACACGGCCCAGACUCCUACGGGAGGCAGCAGUGGGGAAUAUUGCACAAUGGGGGAAACCCUGAUGCAGCAACGCCGCGUGAGUGAUGACGGCCUCGGAUUGUAAGACUCUGUCUUCUAGGGACGAAGUAAUAGACGGUAACCGUUGAGGAGGAAGGCCAACGGGCUAACGUAACCGUGCCAGCACGCCGCGGUAAACACGAG
rnacentral:rRNA from 1 species